rnacentral:rRNA from 1 species
GGACUUCGGUCUCGCGUCACGCCGUCGCUGCGGUAUGUCCGAGGUGGUCGACGUGCACUUCUCCCCUAGUAGGACGUCGCGACCCGUUGGGUGUCGGCCUACGGCCCGGUGCGUCGACUGACGUGUCGCGUUUACGCGCGCACGCGUCAGACGCCCGGUUGCCCGGCCGGCUGCCCGGCGGUAUAGAACGAUCAAAUCAAUCUGGUAUUGGGCCGCAUUAAGUGCGUUCAGGCUCGUCGGCAGGCUCGCCUCGCUCGGAUUUACGGACCUAGUGCCGUAGCCGGGUGCUUGGUGUGGCCGUUAGUCGACGAUGUCCUCGGACUGGCUCUAAAAUAUUCGAACGGAUAUACCGGUCGGCGACGCUACUGCUUUGGGUACUUUCAGGACCCGUCUUGAAACACGGACCAAGGAGUCUAACAUGUGCGCGAGUCAUUGGGACUUGUUUUAAGCCUAAAGGCGCAAUGAAAGUGAAGGUCGUACCUUGCGUCGGCCGAGGGAGGAUGGCUCGCGUUACGAUGCGAGCCCGCACUCCCGGGGCGUCUCGUGCUCAUUGCGAGCUGCGGCGCACCCAGAGCGUACACGUUGGGACCCGAAAGAUGGUGAACUAUGCCUGGUCAGGACGAAGUCAGGGGAAACCCUGAUGGAGGUCCGUAGCGAUUCUGACGUGCAAAUCGAUCGUC